rnacentral:misc_RNA from 1 species
UGUUCAAAUAUGAGGAAGGGCUGUUACAUUAGGGGUCCGUUAAAGGAGGAGUUCACAUUUCCUGCAAGUUCUGCUCCCUUCAAUAGUUGUCAUGCCUCUACCAUUGUUGNNNNGGGCAAAGAUCACUUUUUAGUUGCCUAUUUUGGGGGUACCAUGGAGGGGGCGCCUGAUGUGAAAAUUUGGUUACAGACAUACAAAGACGGUAGUUGGCAAUCAC